CUUAAAUUGAAGAGUUUGAUCAUGGCUCAGAUUGAACGCUGGCGGCAGGCCUAACACAUGCAAGUCGAGCGGUAGCACAGAAGAGCUUGCUCUUUGGGUGACGAGCGGCGGACGGGUGAGUAAUGUCUGGGAAACUGCCUGAUGGAGGGGGAUAACUACUGGAAACGGUAGCUAAUACCGCAUAACCUCGCAAGAGCAAAGAGGGGGACCUUCGGGCCUCUCGCCAUCAGAUGUGCCCAGAUGGGAUUAGCUAGUAGGUGAGGUAAUGGCUCACCUAGGCGACGAUCCCUAGCUGGUCUGAGAGGAUGACCAGCCACACUGGAACUGAGACACGGUCCAGACUCCUACGGGAGGCAGCAGUGGGGAAUAUUGCACAAUGGGCGCAAGCCUGAUGCAGCCAUGCCGCGUGUGUGAAGAAGGCCUUCGGGUUGUAAAGCACUUUCAGCGGGGAGGAAGGCGGUGAGGUUAAUAACCUCAUCGAUUGACGUUACCCGCAGAAGAAGCACCGGCUAACUCCGUGCCAGCAGCCGCGGUAAUACGGAGGGUGCAAGCGUUAAUCGGAAUGACUGGGCGUAAAGCGCACGCAGGCGGUCUGUUAAGUUGGAUGUGAAAUCCCCGGGCUUAACCUGGGAACUGCAUUCAAAACUGACAGGCUAGAGUCUUGUAGAGGGGGGUAGAAUUCCAGGUGUAGCGGUGAAAUGCGUAGAGAUCUGGAGGAAUACCGGUGGCGAAGGCGGCCCCCUGGACAAAGACUGACGCUCAGGUGCGAAAGCGUGGGGAGCAAACAGGAUUAGAUACCCUGGUAGUCCACGCUGUAAACGAUGUCGAUUUGGAGGUUGUGCCCUUGAGGCGUGGCUUCCGGAGCUAACGCGUUAAAUCGACCGCCUGGGGAGUACGGCCGCAAGGUUAAAACUCAAAUGAAUUGACGGGGGCCCGCACAAGCGGUGGAGCAUGUGGUUUAAUUCGAUGCAACGCGAAGAACCUUACCUACUCUUGACAUCCAGAGAACUUAGCAGAGAUGCUUUGGUGCCUUCGGGAACUCUGAGACAGGUGCUGCAUGGCUGUCGUCAGCUCGUGUUGUGAAAUGUUGGGUUAAGUCCCGCAACGAGCGCAACCCUUAUCCUUUGUUGCCAGCGAUUCGGUCGGGAACUCAAAGGAGACUGCCGGUGAUAAACCGGAGGAAGGUGGGGAUGACGUCAAGUCAUCAUGGCCCUUACGAGUAGGGCUACACACGUGCUACAAUGGCGUAUACAAAGAGAAGCGACCUCGCGAGAGCAAGCGGACCUCAUAAAGUACGUCGUAGUCCGGAUUGGAGUCUGCAACUCGACUCCAUGAAGUCGGAAUCGCUAGUAAUCGUAGAUCAGAAUGCUACGGUGAAUACGUUCCCGGGCCUUGUACACACCGCCCGUCACACCAUGGGAGUGGGUUGCAAAAGAAGUAGGUAGCUUAACCUUCGGGAGGGCGCUUACCACUUUGUGAUUCAUGACUGGGGUGAAGUCGUAACAAGGUAACCGUAGGGGAACCUGCGGUUGGAUCACCUCCUUACCAAGAAG
rnacentral:rRNA from 1 species